rnacentral:rRNA from 1 species
CUGCCCCUUGGUUCGGAAUAACAGUUGGAAACGACUGCUAAUACCGGAUGAUGACGUAAGUCCAAAGAUUUAUCGCCGAGGGAUGAGCCCGCGUAGGAUUAGGUAGUUGGUGUGGUAAAGGCGCACCAAGCCGACGAUCCUUAGCUGGUCUGAGAGGAUGAUCAGCCACACUGGGACUGAGACACGGCCCAGACUCCUACGGGAGGCAGCAGUGGGGAAUAUUGGACAAUGGGCGAAAGCCUGAUCCAGCAAUGCCGCGUGAGUGUAUGAAGGCCUUAGGGUUGUAAAGCUCUUUUACCCGGGAUGAUAAUGACAGUACCGGGAGAAUAAGCUCCGGCUAACUCCGUGCCAGCAGCCGCGGUAAUACG